UUAACUCAAAUUUGUACGGAGCUGGAACGUUUGCUUACGUUUGCCGCUAGAUGAGCUAUUCCAACUGUAUAAAACAUUUAAGUUA
rnacentral:pre_miRNA from 1 species